rnacentral:tRNA from 1 species
GCUCAGUUGGUUAAGCAUCUGACUCUUGAUUUAGGUUCAGGUCAUGAUCUCACGGUUCGUGAGUUCACGCCUCACACUGGGCU